GUAUAUUAGAUUAGAUGGUGGUAUAUGUAGAUGCGCUUUUGGUUACAAUUCAUAGCACAACUCAUUAGCUAUAUGCUGGUAGGGUGCUAACACAUAGUUGAUGGUUUGAAAUAUUUUCUCUUGUUGUAGGGUGAGAUUAUGAAGGUUUAAUUAUGCCAAAGAUCAAAUAAAAACAUGUGUUGAGUUUCCAGAGUGUUUUGUAUAGGAUUGCUGGUCAAGCAUGAGCUGUCACUGAGAGAGAAGAAUCAUGUCUCUGGUGUUUCUACGUGUGUGGUGUCUCCCCUUCAAUGCGUGCCCUCUUCCCUCUGGUUCUCCCUGAUUCUCACAGCGAAAACAGUAGGGGAAGCCCUAAACAAACCAGUUCUUGAGGCAUUUGGCAAUGCAAAAACUAUCAGGAACAAUUCAAGUUGUUUUAAAAAAAUGUUGAGAUUUAGUUUGAUGCAAAUGGGAAGAUAUCAGGAGCUGCUAUAAGGGCCUAUCUUGUUGAAAGAUCCCGUGUCUGUCAAAUAUCUGAUCCAGAAAGAAACUACCACUGCUUUUGCAUGCUCUGUUCUGCACCAUCAGAAGUAAGAACAUGUUCUCUAUAAAUGUUUUUGUGUAUCUUGUAAUAAUACUACUGAGUUUGU